rnacentral:rRNA from 1 species
GACGAACGCUGGCGGCGUGCUUAACACAUGCAAGUCGAACGGAAAGGCCCUGCUUUUGUGGGGUGCUCGAGUGGCGAACGGGUGAGUAACACGUGAGUAACCUGCCCUUUACUUUGGGAUAACUUCAGGAAACUGGGGCUAAUACCUGAUAGGAGCUCCUGCUGCAUGGUGGGUGUUGGAACGUUUCGGCGGUUGGGGAUGGACUCGCGGCUUAUCAGCUUGUUGGUGGGGUAGUGGCUUACCAAGGCUUUGACGGGUAGCCGGCCUGAGAGGGUGACCGGCCACAAUGGGACGGAGAUACGGCCCAGACUCCUACGGGAGGCAGCAGUGGGGAAUAUUGCACAAUGGGCGGAAGCCUGAUGCAGCAACGCCGCGUGCGGGAUGACGGCCUUCGGGUUGUAAACCGCUUUCGCCUGUGACGAAGCGUGAGUGACGGUAAUGGGUAAAGAAGCACCGGCUAACUACGUG